GGUCCUUCAAACGGCUUCUCAGUUAUUGACUUGCACAUACAAGCUUCAAAAUAAUUGCAGUGUGUUUUUAAAACAGUCCUCGUAAUGGCUUUCAUGUCCAUACAACCAGAAGUUUUCUGUUUCUAUUAAGGAUUAGAUUGGAUUAAUCUUGCUGGUCUAGUGAUGCUGCUCAUUUACUGGUGUGUUCAGGGUCAUUGUCUUGUUGUCCUUUUCCAAAUGAAAAGUUGAUCAAAUUUUUUAUCAUUGUACAGAAAAUGGAGAAAGGGGAAUGUUAGGCUGUUCAAAAAAUAGUAAGACAUCUAUGAAUCUUUCAGUUAUUUAGCUGUAUAACUACUGUUUCAUCACUAUUGUGUUGCAUAGAAACCACUAAUUUCUGACAUCUGUGAACAGAUAUUUCCUGCCAAAGAACACAUUCGGUUGUCUCAGAAACAACAUUUCUGGUGUCACCUCACAAGUUUUCCAUUUGACUAAGAAUUUAGUUGGUUUCUCCAUGGCUGUAAUCUUGUUGGUCUGGUAAUGCUGCUCCUUUAUGCCCCUUUUUUAUUAGUACCUAUUCUACUCGACUCGGGUCAGGUCGGCUCUACACGGUUUGGUUUGUUUUCCAAUUACAACUGAGUACCAUCUCGAUGUGGGCCAGAUCAACAAUAGCAAAAAAGUAACAUGUGACGAAACACUCUGGAUAAGUAUAGGAGAGAGGUGGAAGCUAUGGAGCGCUAUCAAGCCUACAACGAUUUAAUGCACUGGUCGGCUCGCUUGGAACCGCAAGCAGGCAAGUCCUAAAAACCGUAACAGUACCUUGUAACUGUUAGCAAUGGAAAAGCCUAAAAAGCGAGUAGAGCCACACCGAACAGCGCUGAGUAGAGACUAGUGGAAAAGGGUUAUACCUGGUAUGUUUAGUGUUGUUGUCUUGUUGAAACACCCAUUUUAAGACAUUUUCAUAUAUUUCGAUCUAGUCAUACUGACCCAUGAUUCUUGGUAUGUGAUAAACAUUCCUGACACUACAAUGAGAAACAUCCCAAUAUCAUGAUACACGAGCCACCGUUCUUUACAGUGUGGCUUGAAUUCAGUGAUGGGCGUCAUCUGACAAACUGUCUGUGGCCCCUUGACCCAGAAAAUAAUACGGACUUCCUGUCUUGACACCUGUUCAAAGAAUAAAUGAUCUUGCUGACUGAACUCUA